AUGGCCGUGGGCCGACGAGCAGCGGCGAGUUCGGCCGGUCGCGGCAGCAGUAACAAGCAGCGGCAGCAGAACAGCAAAGUAGCAGCGCAUGAGCCACAGCAGCAAGGCAGCGGCGUGAAGCAACAACAGGCAACAGCGGGUGCGGGCGAGCGCGAGCAAGGGAGACUACGGGCGCAGCCACGCACAGGCGGUCGCGUCCAGUGGGCGCGGCCGGUGCACGCAGGGGCGCAGGCGGGUACCACGAGAGUGGUGGUGAGCACGAACUCCCACAGAGAUCUGGGCGCGCGGUGGUGGAGGCAUACGACGACGGAUUCGACGGGGGAAGAGGGGGAAUCGGAUGAGAGCCUCAUGUUGCGCCUGUAG
rnacentral:rRNA from 1 species